UGGGGAAUAUUGCACAAUGGGCGCAAGCCUGAUGCAGCCAUGCCGCGUGUAUGAAGAAGGCCUUCGGGUUGUAAAGUACUUUCAGCGAAGAGGAAGGCGUUGUGGUUAAUAACCGCAGCGAUUGACGUUACUCGCAGAAGAAGCACCGGCUAACUCCGUGCCAGCAGCCGCGGUAAUACGGAGGGUGCAAGCGUUAAUCGGAAUUACUGGGCGUAAAGCGCACGCAGGCGGUCUGUCAAGUCGGAUGUGAAAUCCCCGGGCUCAACCUGGGAACUGCAUCCGAAACUGGCAGGCUAGAGUCUUGUAGAGGGGGGUAGAAUUCCAGGUGUAGCGGUGAAAUGCGUAGAGAUCUGGAGGAAUACCGGUGGCGAAGGCGGCCCCCUGGACAAAGACUGACGCUCAGGUGCGAAAGCGUGGGGAGCAAACA
rnacentral:rRNA from 1 species